rnacentral:piRNA from 1 species
AGUCAAAAUAAAAACUAAUGUUACUUUGCA